rnacentral:rRNA from 1 species
GACAGAGGGUGCUAGCGUUGUUCGGAAUGACUGGGCGUAAAGGGCGCGUAGGCGGCUUUAUAAGUCGGGCGUGAAAGCCCCGGGCUUAACCCGGGAACUGCGUUCGAUACUGUAAGGCUUGAGUUCAGGAGAGGAAAGCGGAAUUCCUAGUGUAGAGGUGAAAUUCGUAGAUAUUAGGAGGAACACCAGAGGCGAAGGCGGCUUUCUGGACUGAUACUGACGCUGAGGCGCGAAAGCGUGGGGAGCAAACAGG